ACAAUGAGAAAGGGCAAAGAGGGGGAAGAGAGUCGCCCUCUCCGCAGACUCUGCACACUGCGGAGGAGCGCGGGAGAGAAACAAACGCUCACGAGGAAGGGCACGGAGCAGGGUAGAGAUACAGAGUCACGCGGCGAGAAAGGACGCAGAGAAGAGAGAGACGUACAAAGAAACGGGAAGCUUAAAGAAUGCAGCGACGAGGAGCCCAGCCUGAAGUUCUCCCCUCGACCAACCUGUUGUCAGUAGGAGAGAUUCCCCUCGCUGAGGGGAAAGAAGCCUCUUACUCAAGUUGCCGGCAGAACGAGUUAUCCCAAUCCGUGAGGACGGAACGGGCACUAAGUUCGAAUAGAUUCGAUGUGCAAUUUCCUCCGGACGAACCGCAUUGAUGGGCGAGAUGCAAAUGUGAUGGGAUUGUUUUGCAUUCUUUUAAUUUGAUCUUUUCUUUGUUCAUUAUGAAUGGUUAAAAAGCCUCUGAAGGUGGAGGACUGGAUUGGGAGGAAAGAAAUUCCAGAGAUUUGAGGUUCAAAGGCGAGAAUGAGGUCGAGAAAGCCACUCCACUGGGAAGAAAUGGUGCAUUUUAUACUGAAAGUGGUAAUGUUGCAGUGCCCGUCUGUGACAGUUCCAACCCACCAACCGGAUGAGAUCCAACUUCUCAAAAUGAGUACAUUUUUCUACAAGGACAUCAGAUCCACAUUUGGAAACGAGUGUUCAUUUUCAGCAGACCCGGCGGAAACAAAAUGCAGCUUUCGGGGUAAAUUGCAUUCACCGGACCUUCACAAAGUGGACGCUGAACUGGCCUCAUUCCUUGCUUAUGAGCUUUUAAGAUAUGAAUAAAAUUACGGGUCAAGACUA